AGGCAGUGCCGGCGCUAUUUAUUUUUCUCUCGUAGCAGAAAAGGGCUCCGAGAGCCCCAUUGCGCUCCCUCAUCGCUGCAGCGCGGUGACGAAGGCUGUCUCGUUGUUCUCCCACUGACCGAUGGUUUUGAUCCUUCACCAAAAGGGUCUGCUACUCAGCAGGGUAAAAACGCUCCGGAGCACCUCGCUACGGGCGCAUCGCCUGCACCUUAAGGCGUUCCCAGCCUCUGCCUUGUAGUGGCUCACCAGAAAAGAAAUAUAUAUAUAUACACGCAUAUUUAUUUUUCACAAGGAGCAAGCAGUGGCAUUGCUUCCUAGGUAGGAACCAGCUCCUUCCAUCUUGGGAGCUCAAGGCCAGACCCAGCUGGGGUGUGCGCACAUGGUUUUAGGAGGACGAGUUUCCGCGGCUGGGAAAGGAGAGACAAAGGGAGCGGAGUGCGAGGGGUGGGUGUGCCCGGGAGAAAAAGACAGGCUCUGUGUGCAGGAAGCGUGGCCGUGGGCACGGCUGCGGCUGUGAAUGGGAGCGGAGCUGCCGGGAGAGGGGAGAGGCAGAGCAGAGGGUGGGUGUGCCGCGUGUGCCACGGGAGCAGGGAUGCUCGGCGGCUGGUGUGAGCGCUUUUGUGUGCGACAGAGAGCACGGGCACGGGGAGAGCAGGUUCACGUCAUGCGGAUAUGCUCGCACACUCAUUCAGUCCGCUCCUCUGUCAUCUUUGGGUAGUACAAAAAGAGCCACCGGUACACAUAAUGCCUGAAAGGCACUCGAGUCCCUACAGGGCUGAUAAGCUCGGGCGCGGGGGAUGUAUGCUAAGUCUGCUGUUACAAAUCUUGCUGUUGCAGACUUCAGCAGCGCUGAAUAAGCCAGCCAAAACCGUUUCACAAUAUCCUCCUUGGGCAGAGGCAGGUGAGAAUGAGGAGGCAUGUGAAUUCUCCACGUGGGCUCCUUUGGACGUACACCUCAGCCAAAGCCCCAGCCCUGAGAGCCCUGGGCAUCACUCCCAGGGGAUGUGGUCACUGUUUUUCCUGAGUCAAACACCUGACGGCUCAGUCAGGCUGGAGGAGUCACCAGAGAGAUGGAUAAAGUUGCCCUGAUGUCCCAGGAGGUUCAUAAACUUUCUCUAUGGUUUUUCAAGCUUGGCAAAGAAUCACACCAGCCUCUCUAGUGCCUGACAUCCUGGCUCUUUCAGCCACCAUCUUGCACUGGUAGGGCAUGGCAGGAUGCCCCAGAACACACCUUCAGACAAACUGGAGUGACUGGAAGGAUGAAAAACAUGAGGAAAUCACCAUCAAGGUGGGAGAUAAUUUUUACUGCUGGUAAGGUGUUGGCGUGACUGCUGGGAGGGAUGUGAAAGCAGUAAAUGCAAAAGAAAGAAGGAUGGUGCUGAAGAAAUCAGCCACUUUCUGCAAUGGGGAAGGGUUGAGGGCGGCUGCCAAGUGUCAGGUUCAGACGACGUGAGCACAGAAGCCUUUUUAGCAAAAGUAAGUAACACAAAUAGUGGAGAGUAUAGCCCCAAGAUUUUGGGGGUGGAGCCUGAUGAAUGUGAGACAACCUUAAAGAGGUGCUGGGGAACAAACACGUGAGAAUGAAGAUCAUGGGAAGGUCCAGGAUAGAGAAAGAUAUUUCAGAGUCCCUGGAAUGGGGUCAUGUGCAUGCAUGAAGGUCUUAUGCAGACUACGUUAAAAGGGGGAAAAAAAGCAGAAUGAAGGUCUGAGCUGUGAGGGUUCCAGCAGAGAGAAGCUAUCAGGAAGGGAAUGAACAGCAGCACCUGGGGUAGCAGCAAGGUUUCAGGGAGAAACUAGGUGUGAGUCAGGAAAUAACCAGUGUAAGAUUUCUGGAUGAGGAUGGAAAGGGAGGAAAGCCAGAUGGAGGGGCUCUAGGAGCGAGUCUGAGGCGUUCAGGAGCUUAAUAGCUGCUUGUUCAAAGAGUUUAGGGAGGUGCGGAGAUGGGAAGGUAAUUGAAGAGACAUGGUCAAAGGAAAGUUUUAAACAUGUGCAAUGACAUGCUUGGUAUGCAGGGAGAAAUUCAUCCCUAGUGUACGCCUAAUGAAAUCAGUAGCUUUGGCUUUAGCUCUAUCUGUUAAUUCCACAUGACAGAGGAAGAAGGAAGGGAAUUGUUUGUUCUUCACAAAGCGAUGAUAUCAAACAGUUUUGAGUGCUCUUUUUUUACCCAUCAAAAAAUAUAACCCAAAAUAUUACAAUGAUAUGUUUUUUUCUCUUCCUUCACUCUGCACUCUGCCUGCUUCCUUAAAGAAAACCUCUCCCUGCUCAUCAUCAGGUGUGCUUGUGAUGGGAUACAGCAACACCUGCACUGGACCUGUGCUGUCACACGUGGACCUUUGUCACAUACGGCGGGCACAGUAGUACCUCUGCCCUGUCACUGCACACAUACUGGCCACAGAGCUGGGGCCCUGUGUGGUGAGGUUCAGCUUGACCUGAGCUGCAGACCUUCUAGCAGUGUUUGAAUUCAUCAGAGAGGAAAAAUGGGCAACAUUGCUGAGAUUCGGGGAGCAUGGAUUAACUAUACUGUCUGGAGUCAGCCUUGAUUACAAAUCCAGGCAUAAUGAAGGAUGUGGCUUCACUCACCCCAUUGUUCUGCAACGUUUCGAGUGUCUCCUUCGUGCAGCGGGGCUUUGAGGCUCAUAUCUCCUGCCGUCCUACAGUGUGUGGUAGAACAACCUGGCCGCUCAUUCACAAAGAGGACAAAAGACACAAGGGGAAAGGACUUUCUGUUCCAGUGCUGAAACACAAGGCAAGGCGGUCUGAAUCCACGGAGACCCUCUGAUUGAUGUGACAGGGAGGGCAUGACAAGCCUGCUGAUGUGCGAACAGCAUUUUACUCCAGCUGAUCUUGCCAAAAAAAAUAAAACACCCAUGACAAAAACUAAACUAGCUGGCUUACUUAGAGCAUAAAUGUCCAGGAAUGGAGAACUGCCACCUGGUGUGAGUUAUGAAGCCCUGCCUUCCUCUGUGAAGAUGACCAUGACAAAUAGUGGCAGGUCAGGCCCAGGGCACCCUGUGCUCUGGUCUAGGCAGAGUUGGCUUUGCCCGUCUCUGAAGGGCUGCCACCCCGCGAUCUGCAGUUCAGCCCUAACUGCAGGCCAUGAGA